rnacentral:rRNA from 1 species
CCUACGGGGGGCAGCAGUGGGGAAUAUUGCGCAAUGGGCGAAAGCCUGACGCAGCGACGCCGCGUGAGGGAUGAAGGUCUUCGGAUCGUAAACCUCUGUCAGCAGGGAAGAACGGUCACUGUGCUAAUCAGCAGUGAAUUGACGGUACCUGCAAAGGAAGCACCGGCUAACUCCGUGCCAGCAGCCGCGGUAAUACGGAGGGUGCGAGCGUUAAUCGGAAUUACUGGGCGUAAAGCGCUCGUAGGCGGUAUGUCAAGUCAAGGGUGAAAUCCCCGCGCUCAACGUGGGAACUGCCUUUGAAACUGGCAAACUGGAGUGUGUGAGAGGAUAGUGGAAUUCCAGGUGUAGGAGUGAAAUCCGUAGAUAUCUGGAGGAACAUCAGGGGCGAAGGCGACUAUCUGGAACAUAACUGACGCUGAGGAGCGAAAGCGUGGGUAGCAAACAGGAUUAGAUACCCCAGUAGUC